rnacentral:rRNA from 1 species
CCGUUUAGGGGUAAACCUGAGAAACCCGAAAGAUCGAAGGGGGAGAUUCAGCGUCAACGUGCGUUGGUUCCGCGCAGUGCUGCGAUGUUUGAAAUGUGAGUCUUCGGAUGAGCAUUGGUGACACGCACCUGUGUGGUGUUCCUUUGCGCGUCGGCGUGCACUUCUUCCCUAGUAGAACGUUGUGACCCACUGAGUGUUGGCUUAGGGACCGUGAUCGUUGACUGUGCCGUGAGUUUCGGCGCACGGAUGCAGACGCUCGGUAUUCUGGUUGGCUGCUCGGUGGUGUAAUAUAAUGGUAUCAAGCCGCACAUAGAUUGCGUUCAGACUCGUUGCAAGCCUGGUCAUGUUUGUCGGAUUUGCGGACCCAGUGCCGUUAUCUGGCGGUGACUAGCUGCUGGUUGACGAAGUUCUCGAACUGGCUUUUAAUACCUGUCUACAACGCUAUUGCUUUGGGUACUUUCAGGACCCGUCUUGAAACACGGACCAAGGAGUCUAGCAUGUGCGCGAGUCAUUGGGAGGUAAAAACCUAAAGGCGCAUUGAAAGAAAAGAUCGGCCUUGCGUUGAUCUAGGGAGGAUGGGCGUCGCUCAUAACGGCGCUCCGCACUCCCAGGGCGUCUCGUUGUCAUUGCGACAUGAGGCGCACCCAGAGCGUACACGCUGGGACCCGAAAGAUGGUGAACUAUGCCUGGUCAGGAUGAAGUCAGGGGAAACCCUGAUGGAGGUCCGUAGCGUAUCUGACGUGCAAAUCGAUCGUCUGAACUGGGUAUAGGGGCGAAAGACUAAUCGAACCAUCUAU